rnacentral:tRNA from 1 species
AAGACCCGAGUAAAACAUUACAUAGCCCUGUCAGCGCUAAAUUAUGGGCUAAGACCCGUGGGUCUUA